CCUACGGGUGGCUGCAGUAGGGAAUUUUGCGCAAUGGGCGAAAGCCUGACGCAGCAACACCGCGUGAAUGUUAAGCCCUUCGGGGUUUAAAGCUCUUUCAAUCCGGACGAAUUUUGACUGUACCUAAAAAAGAAGCACCGGCUAACUCCGUGCCAGCAGCCGCGGUAAUACGGGGGGUGCAAGCGUUGUCCGGAAUCAUUGGGCGUAAAGCGUUCGUAGGCGGCUAGGUAAGUCGGAUGUGAAAGCCCGGGGCUCAACUCCGGUUCGGCAUUUGAUACUAUCUAGCUAGAAUGUGUUAGAGGUAAAUGGAAUUCCUAGUGUAGCGGUGAAAGGCGUAGAUAUCAGGAGGAACAUCAGUGGCGAAAGCGCUUUACUGGACCAUUAUUGACGCUGAGGAACGAAAGCCAGGGGAGCAAAUGGGAUUAGAUACCCGGGUAGUC
rnacentral:rRNA from 1 species